rnacentral:lncRNA from 1 species
AGCUUCAAAUUUUAAUUAAAAAAUAUAAUUUGAAUAAUGUACAUGAAUGACUACGCUAAAUAGAUAAGAGGAAAUAUAAACUACGUAUAAAUAACAAAACAAUCCCGUUUACAAAAGUCCAGGUUGUAUGAAGAAGCUAUUCAGAAUUAAAUGGGUCUUACCUGAAUUAACUGUUUAUAAACUGUACGUUACAACUGUGGUUACAAUACAAUACACAUUUUCGAUAAUUACGUCAUGAAUACGUUGUUGGCCUGGGAGCCUCGCUCUCGCGAUUCAAGACGGAAUGAGGUUGACUCACGUUCAUGAAAAUGAGGCUUCCAGGCCAAGAACGUAUUCAUGACGUAAUUAUCGAAACUAGGUGUAUAUUAUACCUCCUCCUAAGCCUCCGUAUAUUACCCUCCUCCUAUUAAGCAGCGAAAAAAACCAGGGGUCAGAUUUGACUACCGCUACUACUACCUCUCACUGGCUCAGCACGCGUCUGAUUGGCUAAUCGGACAUAUCAGACGCAUCUGAUUGGUUAAUAGUCCCUUAAUGGUAGCGGUAGUGGAAGUCAUAUCUGAUUCAGGGCACUUUUCAAGGUUGUUGUGAAACUGCAUGGAACUUGCAAAGCCAACUUCGCAAGUUGUUCACUACAAGUAUCGGAGUACUGAAUUUAAAAUCGUAAUUUCCAGUGUUUUACUAAAUAAUUCGUUGGCUUUGCAAGUUCCACUUCCAAUAUUCCAAAUUUAGAAAAGUAAUCGAAAUAUUCACAAUAAACGUGGGAAUUUCGCUUCGAAAAGUGGUUCAGUUACACAUAUUCGCUGAUCCAAUUCAUUCUAUAUGGUCAAAAUUGAAAAAUAAAAUACUACACUAAUACAUAAAAUAGCUAGAUGAUAAAUUAACCAUUAUUUUGGAGGGUCAUCAUUCAUUUUGUCGGCAAAAGAAUUCGAAACAGUUUAGACAGAUCGACCUCCGAGUAUGAAUUGUUUUCGAUGAGAUUCGUGACAUAUCCACGUAUUUCCGAAAACCAUGCUAAGGAGUCCUUUUUAUUCUCAACU